ensembl:lncRNA
CACUUCCUGGGCAACACACGUCCCCCGUGGUUUAGGCUCGUAAUUGACCUUUCCUGACAGAGCAAUCUGUGGACGAUGUACAGAAUAAAUGAUGAUUUGAGAGCGAGAGGUCGCCUCGGAAGUGUGAGUCAUCCGUCAGUGUUUGUGUGCUGGGAGAGCGGCCCACUGUGGCCUGACUCUACGGCAGACAUUCAUGAAGCCCCCUCACACCAGGAUCGCUCUACAAUGACAGCUUUGUAAAGGAUGGAAGAGAGCUGCUGUGGAAAAUAUUCAAGACACAGAGAGAAAGAGAGAGACAAUGAGAGAAAAAGAGGAGCUAUCAAAGUGUUUCGUUCACAAAGUCUGCGAGUGUUCCAGCUCCACUGGAAACUUUCAGUCGUUCAGUUGAGUUUAAAGGGGG